GCCGGAGUGGCAGAGUGGUUAUCGCGCUAGUCUCGAAAACUAGUGUCCGCAAGGACUCGGGAGUUCGAAUCUCUCCUCCGGCG
rnacentral:tRNA from 1 species